rnacentral:rRNA from 1 species
CCUACGGGUGGCAGCAGUGGGGAAUAUUGCACAAUGGGGGAAACCCUGAUGCAGCGACGCCGCGUGAGUGAAGAAGUAUUUCGGUAUGUAAAGCUCUAUCAGCAGGGAAGAAAAUGACGGUACCUGAUUAAGCAGCCCCGGCUAACUACGGGCCAGCAGCCGCGGUAAUACGUAGGGGGCAAGCGUUAUCCGGAUUUACUGGGUGUAAAGGGGGCGUAGACGGCAGCACAAGUCUGGAGUGAAAUGCCGGGGCUUAACCCCGGAACUGCUUUGGAAACUGUGCAGCUGGAGUGCAGGAGAGGUAAGUGGAAUUCCUAGUGUAGCGGUGAAAUGCGUAGAUAUUAGGAGGAACACCAGUGGCGAAGGCGGCUUACUGGACUGUAACUGACGUUGAGGCUCGAAAGCGUGGGGAGCAAACAGGAUUAGAUACCCUUGUAGUC